UGUUUCUUUGUUUGGAGUCUGACGUAAGUCCAGCGAUUGGCAGUCGGUUUCCUGUGUGAGUUUUUGGUUUGGAGUCUGACGUAAGUCCAGCGAUUGGCAGUCGGUUUCUUGUUUGUGUUUUGUUUGGCGUGUGUUAGCCGAGCUACGAGUGCUCUGAUUCUUCCUCUGGUUAGAGAAGAUACGUAUGCAUAGGAUGCGAUAUCCUAGCGAGCACGUUUCCCGUUUCCCCGAACUACGUCGACUCUGAUGUUUGUGUCUAACAAACUACGUAGGCCCA
rnacentral:lncRNA from 1 species